AACGAACGCUGGCGGCAGGCUUCAUACAUGCAAGUCGCACGAUUAAACCCAGCAAUGGGAUAUAGAGUGGCGAACGGGUGAGUAACAGGUGGAUAAUCUGCCUUUUGGUGGGGGAUAACGGCUGGAAACGGCCGCUAAUACCGCAUGUGGUUGCGAGUGCUAUGGCACUUGCAAAGAAAGGGGCUUUACGGCCCUGCCAAAAGAUGAGUCCGCCCCCCAUUAGCUAGUUGGCGGGAUAAUAGCCCACCAAGGCUGUGAUGGGUAGCCGAGCUGAGAGGUUGAUCGGCCACACUGGAACUGAGACACGGUCCAGACACCUACGGGAGGCAG
rnacentral:rRNA from 1 species